ensembl:misc_RNA Metazoa_SRP Metazoan signal recognition particle RNA
GCCGGGUGCGGUGGCAUGUGCCUGUAAUCCAAGUCACUGGGAGGCUGAGGUUGGUGGAUCAAGUGAGCUGAGGAGCUCUGGGCUGCAGCACACUAUGUUGAACGGGUGUCCACGCUAAGUUCGGUAUCGAUAUGGUGUUCCAGGGGGAGCCCGGGACCACCAGGUUGUCUAAGGAGGGGUGAACCGGCCCAGGUCGGAAACGAAGCAGGUCAAAUCCCCCGUGCUGUCCAGUAGUUGGAUAAUACCUGUGAGUAGAUGCUGCAGUGCAGCCUUGGCAAAACAUCGAGACCUAAUCUUUU